rnacentral:rRNA from 4 species
GGUUAAGUUAGAAAGGGCGCACGGUGGAUGCCUUGACACUAGGAGUCGAUGAAGGACGGGACUAACGCCGAUAUGCUUCGGGGAGCUGUAAGUAAGCUUUGAUCCGAAGAUUUCCGAAUGGGGAAACCCACUAUACGUAAUGGUAUGGUAUCCUUACCUGAAUACAUAGGGUAUGGAAGACAGACCCAGGGAANUGAAACAUCUAAGUACCUG